GGAAUAUUGCACAAUGGGGGAAACCCUGAUGCAGCGACGCCGCGUGAGUGAAGAAGUAUUUCGGUAUGUAAAGCUCUAUCAGCAGGGAAGAAAAUGACGGUACCUCAUUAAGAAGCCCCGGCUAACUACGUGCCAGCAGCCGCGGUAAUACGUAAGGGGCAAGCGUUAUCCGGAUUUACUGGGUGUAAAGGGUGAGUAGGCGGUUCGGCAAGUCAUAUGUGAAAUACCUGGGCUCAACCCAGGAACCGCAUAAGAAACUGUCGGACUUGAGUACAGGAGAGGUAAGCGGAAUUCCCAGUGUAGCGGUGAAAUGCGUAGAUAUUGGGAAGAACACCGGUGGCGAAGGCGGCUUACUGGACUGAAACUGACGCUGAGUCACGAAAGCGUGGGGAGCGAACAG
rnacentral:rRNA from 1 species